rnacentral:rRNA from 1 species
UGGGGAAUAUUGCACCAUGGGGGAAACCCUGAUGCAGCGACGCCGCGUGAGCGAUGAAGGCUUUCGAGUCGUAAAGCUCUGUCCUAUGGGAAGAUAAUGACGGUACCAUAGAAGAAAGCCCCGGCUAAUUACGUGCCAGCAGCCGCGGUAAUACGUAAGGGGCGAGCGUUGUCCGGAAUUAUUGGGCGUAAAGAGUGCGUAGGCGGCAAAUUAAGUCAGAUGUGAAAACUAAGGGCUCAACCCAUAGAUUGCAUCUGAAACUGAUAUGCUUGAGUCAAGGAGAGGAAAGUGGAAUUCCUAGUGUAGCGGUGGAAUGCGUAGAUAUUAGGAGGAAUACCGGUGGCGAAGGCGACUUUCUGGACUUGAACUGACGCUGAGGCACGAAAGCGUGGGGAGCAAACAGG